rnacentral:rRNA from 1 species
AUUGAACGCUGGCGGCAUGCCUUACACAUGCAAGUCGAACGGCAGCACGGGAGCAAUCCUGGUGGCGAGUGACGAACGGGUGAGUAAUGUAUCGGAACGUACCUUUCAGUGGGGGAUAACGUAGCGAAAGUUACGCUAAUACCGCAUAUUCUGUGAGCAGGAAAGCAGGGGAUCGCAAGACCUUGCGCUGAUUGAGCGGCCGAUGUCAGAUUAGCUAGUUGGUGAGGUAAAGGCUCACCAAGGCGACGAUCUGUAGCGGGUCUGAGAGGAUGAUCCGCCACACUGGAACUGAGACACGGUCCAGACUCCUACGGGAGGCAGCAGUGGGGAAUUUUGGACAAUGGGCGCAAGCCUGAUCCAGCCAUGCCGCGUGAGUGAAGAAGG